rnacentral:lncRNA from 1 species
AUUCGGAUUACGAAGAGAAGUUCCGGGAAGACGAGGAGGAGGAGGUGGUGAAGGAGUUCAUUCAAGAAACAGAAGCUUCACUCUAAUGUAUAAACUCAGGAGCUUGUUUCAUAAAUAUUAGAAUGACUUCCAACAUUCACACAGAUAUAUCCAGAAAAUUACUUUAGAUUAUUGUUCUCCUCUAUAUGUUACAUGAACUAGAAAAGCUGGCACUAAAAAGAGAGAGACUUGAGUAGAUAAGUUGUUCUGGUCUUGUAGUGCUCUUUUGGAUCUGUGUGGUUCAACUUCAGCUGGCUCUCACCAUUUUAUUUGGACAAUAACAAGUCUAGGCGAAUCAGCAGUUAACUACCAUCUGCUCACUGUGUAUCCUAUUUCUUACCGGAGAGAGAUCCUCCAUCUGUUGUUGCGUCAUCUAGAUUCGACAAGGAGGUGGAGUUUUGUAUUUGGUUAGGGAAAGCAGCACAUGACGGAGGGAAAUAGUUUCCCAUUGGUGUGAACAAUGCAGAGUUUUGCAUUGGCGUUAUUAGUCCAGUGGGAUGGUUAAGAAACCUUAGCAUAUCUGCUGAGUUACCACCAGAUCCUAGAACAGGCGGAGGCAGAAACUGUGGUAGGCCCAUUUGCAUACAUGUUGGUAGACCCAUCUGAGAGUAAUGCGGACCCAAAGGCAACAUCAUUGCUGGUGCAGCAAAUCUGUUACUCAUCGUCAUCAUCUGCCAUCCAAUAUUUUAUACAGGUUAGAUAACACGAAUCUUGAGAUUGAGUUUGUUAUUUAAUAUGAAAGUAUUUUUGCUUGUUAUACCUGAACUUGAAGUUGAAGGGUCGUCAUAUAGUUAAUUGCUUCAUCCAACGUUGAUUCGUUAUCGUCCUAUGAAUGAACAUUUGAGUAUUGAUUUGAGGUAAUGUAAGUAACGGUCAAAUCUACAGAUUAGGGAGUUUGUUCUUGUGGACAAACCUUGCCAGAGUUAGGUAGUAGAUUCUGUAACUUGCGCAUUUUCUUGUUGAUAUCGCUUCUUUGAUUCUGUUAUUAUGCAUCAUAAUUUUUCAAUAUACAAAAUGAAUCUAUCAGAUUGUUUUACUAAGUUUUUCAUGAGAUUUACUUACUUUUUCAGAUGAGUUAUAAAGCUCGUUGCUGUUGCUCCGUCUUCUCUUGACCAAAGAUUUUCUUGUUCUUGCAGGGACUCGUGGCCUCGGAUCAUCUGACUCAUCAUCUAGACUCUGCGCUGAGACAAAAAAGAAAAGAAAACUGUCUUUAGACAAGAACCUAACAGAUAAAAAAACCAAACCAAGAAGCAACCAAUCGUCUUACACUGCU